rnacentral:rRNA from 1 species
AUUGAACGCUGGCGGCAUGCCUUACACAUGCAAGUCGAACGGCAGCACGGGGCAACCUGGUGGCGAGUGGCGAACGGGUGAGUAAUGCAUCGGAACGUACCUUUCAGUGGGGGAUAACGUAGCGAAAGUUGCGCUAAUACCGCAUAUUCUGUGAGCAGGAAAGCAGGGGAUCGCAAGACCUUGCGCUGAUUGAGCGGCCGAUGUCAGAUUAGCUAGUUGGUGAGGUAAAGGCUCACCAAGGCGACGAUCUGUAGCGGGUCUGAGAGGAUGAUCCGCCACACUGGAACUGAGACACGGUGCAGACGCCUACGGGAGGCAGCAGUGGGGAAUUUUGGACAAUGGGGGCAACCCUGAUCCAGCCAUGCCGCGUGAGUGAAGAAGGCCUUCGGGUUGUAAAGCUCUUUCGGCCGGGAAGAAAUCGCACGGGCUAAUACCCUGUGUGGAUGACGGUACCGGAAUAAGAAGCACCGGCUAACUACGUGCCAGCCGCCGCCGUAA